AACUGGUCCAAAGACACUGAGUUAUCCCAAUUGAUUAUUGACAGUCAGCUACAGAUCAAUCUCCUUUUUCUCUCUUUCCCCCUUCUCACUAUUGCUUUGGCUAGUCUGUG
rnacentral:Y_RNA from 1 species